AAGGUCUCCCCCACCAUCCACCUCUUCCCGCCAUCCUCCAACAAGCUCUCAACGCAGAGCAAAGCCACCCUGGUGUGUCUGCUGGAAGACUUCUACCCCAGCACCGUGCAGGUGGCCUGGAUGGCCGAUGGCCGCACCCUCUCCAGCGGCAUCGAGACCAGCCAGCCCCAGCGGCAGACCAACAACCAGUACAUGGCCAGCAGCUACCUGACACUGAGUGCCAGCGACUGGAAGAGCCACGAGACCUACGCCUGCAAGGUCACGCAUGAGACUGGCACCAGAUCUGAGUGCUCCUAA